GGUGAGAAAUGCAAUCUAUAAUUGUCAGUAGAUAGACAUUUCUAAACUGCAAGUAGCUUGGGGUAAUGAUGUGCCUUCCUCUAGGGAAAGCCUGCUGUAGCUGCUGUAUGAAUGACUGGUAUGAGGUGAGCAGAAGUAGAUCCCUGGCUGUGUCCACCAGUUUCUUUUGGGACUUCAUGGAGACAACAGAUUCAGAAAAAGAGGGUUGCAAACAAGUGGUAGAAGUAGAAAGCUUAGUAAUUUACGUUCUUCAUCUUUAAGGCUGCAGGUGCUAUUCCUCAUAUGUUUUACUUUUGUGCAAAUGGCUCAGUGAAGAUCUGUAUCUAAGUGCUAUAUCAGUUUAUCUAAAGAGUCAUCUGAGCAUCUUUUAUGUCAAUUGUGACGAUAUCAGGAUUUAAAACUUGAGAGUAGUCUCUCUGAAAGGUGGAUCUAAGCUCCCUGUCAUAAAAUUUAAAAGGACUGUGCUUAGUGUACAAGUCUCCAUCUGCAUUAAUUCCUUGGGUUAUGUAUUUAAAUUAGAUUUAGCUAAAUACAACUUCAUGUAAAGUUCUAUCUGCUUUAGAUAGUGUCUGUCAGUUCCGCUGGUUUUAACUGAUACGAGUAGGGCUUAUCUGUGAUGUUAAGGAUACAGUUCUCUAAGCUUUUUAGUCUAGGACCUUGGGCAUUUGAAGAUGCAGAGGAUUCUGUACUGCUUUGCAAGGAAUUAAGACCUCCCAUAAACGCAGUAGAAAACUGGGACACUACAAUAGACAGCCAAGUUUGUGAUUCAGUGAGCGUCAACAGCUUUAACUGUUCUUUUGGUACAAUGAGAAGGGAGUGUACAAAGAUGUGUGUUUUGCUACCAACGUGAUACUGGGAGUGUAUAAAC